AGGUCAGAUGAGGGUUUUUAUUGGCUCCAGCUCCAAUCAGCAGCAGUGGAAACAUGAACCUUGUUCAGACGUACCCAUUAUCGCUCUUUUCCUGCACAAUGCCAUCGCUCGCGGUGAAAUUUUGGACAAUGGCAUCAGAAACUGAAGCCCACACAACAGAAGGGUCCGGACGAACCGGAGCUGCAGCAGAGAAGAGGCAUAACGAAGGUGGAUCUGAGACGGGCCGAACACGGAUCUGGUGGAAUUGAGGGCCCAAAUGUUUGUCACUCAUCAGUACGCUGCUGCUCCACUGAAGGCAGAAGAUUUCUUCCUUUCUCCUCUUUGUUGUUGACAAAAUGAUCAAUUUAGUUGUUUUGCUUGGUUACAUAUCACUACUGUUAAAGAGAAACACUCCUCCAACUGCUGAUCAGUCUGUUCAGUGUCACCUUGUGAUGUUCUUACACUGGAAACUGUGAUCAUGCAGAUGUAACAUCAUUUUCCAUCUGUUUUCUCUUCCUCUGUCCCUUCUCAAGUGGAAAAAUGAGGUUUGUGGACUGCUGAUGUGAAGCCUCAAGUUUGGCAGGAUGGCUGUUGUCAUCUUGUGUUUUUUAUUGGAGCCAGAAGUGACCUUUUUGGAUGAGAGGGUGGAGCUGCGGGGAGGAGAUUCUGAUUGACUCCGAUGGAGAACCUGAAGACAAGCUGUAGACAGAUGUUGGUAUGAAGCAUCUGUUUUUGCACUACAUGGGACCAAAAUAUACAAGAUGAACAGCAUGAGCUGGAGAAGACUUGUGACUACUGACAGACUCAUGAGGACAUUGUUCACUGAAUGCAAUGAAUCAAGUGUGCAGCAGGGUCAUUUUCUCAUAAGCUUAUAUACACUCAGACUUUCUGAAACCAGCAGCCAUGGUUUUUUUUUUUUUACUCCUCUUUUGUUCCCGCUCACUGAUCUUCACACACUUGUGUGUUUUGUGUGUGUGUGCUGCCUCUAGCUCGAGGCACUGUGUUGCAGGCUUCGAUCAACGAGCUGUCACUGCCGGAAUGAACACACACACACACACACACACACACACACACACACACACACACACACACACACACACACACACACACACACAGCUGCAGGAAACACUGACCUCCUUGUUAACCUCGGACAUGUUGUUCAUUUUCUGCAGUAAGAAAACAAACCUGCUGUUUCUGGGAGGUCAGGAAGUCGUGCUGAUGUUGUUUUCUUCUCUCUGUUCUUGUUCCAUUCAUAAUUAAUUCAUUUAUUAUUUCUACAUCUUUUCUCACACAGUUAUUCUGCUUCCGGCGACAUCAAUUCUGCAGGAUAAUUAAUUUUUUUUUGAAAUGCUUGGCCGUCUGAUGAAGCAUUCACAAAUACUUCAAAACCAUUGUGCCCUUUUUCUGAACUCUGACGAAUUUCCUCUGGAAUUUUCAUGAAUUGAUGCAAUUUUUAGUUUAAAAAAAUGUCCCAGAUGAUGAGCGGUGAGUCAUGUUUGCAUGAGAUCACAUCUAGUGCCUUUCAGAGAGGAGAUAGUCCUCAAAUGUUGGUCCAGUUAACUGAAAUUAAUGUUGGACUGUGUGUUUUUCUGUUGCACUUUUUCUCAGCGCAGUAGAUGGUCUGCAGUCAUGUGAUUGCUGUGAAAUACAGAUGGAGGGUGACGGUGUGAAGCUGAAUGGAGGAGAUGGAGGAUACAAGAGAAAUGUCACCUCACAUUAAUUUAACCACCGGCGUGUCAAAGCAUCUCGUUUCAAACACACGUGACAUAAUCUGUCUCUACCGCACAUGAAUAAUGAUGGAGACUGACGUUCAGAAGUUCCUCAGUUUGGCUCAUUAUUAUUGGUUAGAUGCGUCUUCAACAGUGUUAUUUUCUUAAUGUCCAUUGUAAAGUGAUGCUGUCGGAUCUGUGAAGCUGACUCACUCCAUAAUUUGAUAUUUAUAAUGUUUCUCAAGGUCUUCUUUAGCAUGGUGAGCAAUAAAAGUACAAUGAACUCUGA